rnacentral:rRNA from 1 species
CAUAACAGCUAGCUCUUUGCAACUCUCACAUGGUCGCUCACUGAAGCUAUGCAGGGCUGCGCCUGGUCAGUACCUGGAUGAGAAACCAAAUGGGAAAGCUAGGUUGCUGCCGGAA